rnacentral:rRNA from 1 species
UACAGAGGGUGCAAGCGUUAAUCGGAAUUACUGGGCGUAAAGCGUGCGUAGUCGGUUAUUCAAGUCGGGUGUGAAAGCCCCGGGCUCAACCUGGGAAUUGCAUUCGAUACUGUUUAGCUAGAGUUCGGCAGAGGGAAGCGGAAUUUCCGGUGUAGCGGUGAAAUGCGUAGAUAUCGGAAGGAACAUCAGUGGCGAAAGCGGCUUCCUGGACCAGAACUGACGAUCAGGCACGAAAGCGUGGGGAGCAAACAGG